AGCUGUCAUUGUUCUGUCUGUUAAAAACAGGAAACUUCAGAAAGCUGCUAAAGAAGAACUGCAUCCUGAAAGAAACAAGAAUGUGGGCUCUGAUGAUC